rnacentral:rRNA from 1 species
UACGUAGGGCGCAAGCGUUGUCCGGAAUUAUUGGGCGUAAAGAGCUCGUAGGCGGCUUGUCACGUCGGAUGUGAAAGCCCUGGGCUCAACCCAGGAAGUGCACUCGAUACUGUAUGGCUCGAGUACUGGAGAGGUUGGUGGAAUUCUCGGUGUAGAGGUGAAAUUCGUAGAUAUCGAGAGGAACACCGGUGGCGAAGGCGGCCAACUGGACAGAUACUGACGCUGAGACACGAAAGCGUGGGGAGCAAACAGG